AGAGAGUGUGUGUGUCUGUUAGUGAAUGUGUGUGUCUGUUGGUAAUAGACACACACACAUUCACUAACAGACACACACACACUCUCU